rnacentral:rRNA from 1 species
UACGGAGGGUGCAAGCGUUUAUCCGGAUUCACUGGGUUUAAAGGGUGCGUAGGUGGGUUGGUAAGUCAGUGGUGAAAUCUCCGUGCUUAACAUGGAAACUGCCAUUGAUACUACUGAUCUUGAAUUUUCUGGAGGUAAGCGGAAUAUGUCAUGUAGCGGUGAAAUGCUUAGAUAUGACAUAGAACACCAAUUGCGAAGGCAGCUUGCUACAGGGAUAUUGACACUGAGGCACGAAAGCGUGGGGAUCAAACAGG